UCCCUUCUUUGCAAAGAGUCAGCCACAAAGAUGUCACUAGCAGGUUGCGGGUUCAGCUCAACACAAGCAUUCGUCCGGCUCUUGGAGCCACACAGUGGUCCCUACAUUAUUUGGCACUCCUCUUCAAGCAGGUGUUCCCACACAUCAGCAGACCAUAGUGGGUCCCAGAGCUGAAAGUGUGUGCUCAGGAAGCUGCAUAGGCAUUGCUGUAGAAUCUUGAUAAAGCACUUGCAGCUUGCAUUUGACUUUGGAUACUCCUACCAAAAGG